CACACACACACACACACACACACAAAAACACAUCGGACGGCAAAGACGAGCUACAAAUGCCUGAGGAUUCAGCUUUAGAGGAUCAACACACAUUUCCUUUAAAAAAAUAUAAGUAUUAUAAGGUUUUUCCUCUCUCUCUCUCUCUUUAAGAAAAUGUACUACGUAGAAUUGCUUUUCUUCUUCCCAUCCCCCCCUUCAUAACCUCAAGCAAACUCGAGGAAUCAUGCCAAAAGUCCCGUUGCUAGUUACCAAGUGCAUUUUUUUAAACGUCCCUUUGAUACUUCUUUCCCUCAUGCUUGCUGUGGAAUAUGCAAGUGAGAUAAUCUUUCCAUUACUUAGAAAAGCAAUUAAAAACAACUUUCAGUUGAACUUUCCUUUUUAUUGAGGGGGCAAAAGAAGGGGUGGGGGGGGGGAAGGGAGAAUAUUUUUUCCUCUUCCCAGAACCCAACAUUUGGCUUUUUCCAUUUGUGGCAGAUCACUGUAACUCUAUUGUAAAACAACUUCCUGCCCCUUUUGGCUCAAGUUCCAGAAUCUGCUAGGCUAAGUUCAUAGCACAAACUUUUUUUCUCCUUGCCGAAGAACCAAGACAAAAAAAUCCUUGCUAAUUAUUUUGCCCUCUUUUUUGCAAAUGGAUUCAUAAGAUGAAUUUAUUGCAGUCCCCUUAACACUGUUACAAAAGAGACGUCCGUAUACCAGCUGGAUAAUUCAUAAAUUUAAAAGGUGGGGUUAUUAUAUACAUUUUUUAAAUUAUUAUUUUAAAUUGUAAGUCUUAACAUCAGCACUGAUAACAUGCUAAGCUGCUUCAUCUGCUGUAUUUAAUUUGUAUAUCUAUCAUAACUCAGAUCGCUGGCUUAGUAUAUGCAGCACCCCCCCCUACUUUUCAUCUGCUUUUAUACUCUAAAUUAAUCUGUACCGCUCCUCUUCACUCUCCCCACCUCUCAAUUUAUCCUAAUGAAAAUACCCAUCCAAAACCUCCCUCUCCCUGCUAAAAACUAGAGAUGUUUGCAGUUCUCUGGUGUAACCAAAAGGUAAAAAAUAAGGCCUCCACAACUUGCUCUCACGCUCUCUCUCUCUCUGUGUUUCUCUCAUAGCAACAGCAUUUCCUGGUACGCCUGCUUUGGCAUCCAUCAGCAUUUUUACCCGUCCAAGUGUCCUUUUGCGUCACAUCUCGCCAUUUCAGUCAACCAAUGAAUUUUCCCUGUUGUAAUAAUAUAUAUGUGUGUGUGUGUAUCUAUAUCUAUAUAUUCUGUUACUGGUAUGUUCAAAAAUGUUUUAUAUGCUUUCCUUCCAAAAAUGCUGUCAAAAUGUUCUAUUUGCCCUACCAUGGGGGGAAAAAAAGAGAUCUUACACUAUUCAACCUGAGGGUGUCCUCCUCCUGAAAGAAUUUUACCAUAAGAAAAAGAGGGUUAGGUGAUUAGUUAAGGAAAGCCAUAGUUGUCCCUCUGAUUUAAUAUUUAUUCUGCUUAUGCCAUCAUCUCUAUCAUGGCUGGACUUUAAACCAGUUAUGAGGUUUCAUGUAAUUAGAAGUUUAUACAAUAUAUUUCAAUGGUCUUAUGAAAUACUCCUGAUAAAAAUAUUUAAUGAAGUUUUGUUCCUUAAAAUAUGGAUUAGGAAAUAGUGGCAGGAAAAGAAAUAUGAUGAAAAAAAGAAAGCUGAGAUGUAACAUUUUAUUUCCUUGCAACAAUCGGUUUCCAUCCCCAGAGACUUUUCUCCAGCCUUCUCUGAAAAACUUACUAUCCUGCAAAAUGGAGUAAAGUGAGAGUAACUACUGAAGAGACCAACAAAAGUCAGUUGCAUAAUAGAGCUGGCCGUCAAAAUAAAGGUUGAGUAAUUUUUGGGGGAUCUAACUGUUUUAUUUCAUCGAUUUCAAUGAUGAAUGGAGAAUAUCAUACAGAAGAAACAGAUGGACGUGGGUAACAGAACAUAAUAUACAUCUUUCAAAUGUGCUCCCAUCAAUUACACAGCAUGGAGAGGAGCCAAUGUAUGAGGAAAAACAGUGAGAAGACUGUAUGGAGGGGAGCAGUGCCUACACACAAUGCUCCCACUGCUCCACUAUUGCACAGAAGCUCUUUGAGUAAUCUUCACACAGUUGGGUUCCAAUGGAAAUUGAUGGGAUUCAAGGCCAGGCAGGGGACUUGCACUGGUAAAGAGCCUAUAACAGUUUUCCACACGUGGUGCCCAUGCAUUUCAUGAUACUCCAAUAUUGCUCUAGAUCAGGCCUGCACAACAUGCGGCCCCCGGGCAAGCGGCGGGUGGGGCUGCCGGGUUCGCCCCCUGCCCGGGGGGGCCCCGCCUCACAGCCCCGCGCACACGCACCGCGCUCCAACCGCCCUAACGGCCAGAACCACACGUGUGUCUGUCUCCCGCUCCCCCCGCCUGGUGUACAGCGAGUGCGUCACUUCUGGGGCCCGCUGAGGCGGGAAGCGCUGGGCACGAGGCAGAGCCGGCAGGAGGAAGGAAUCCAUUUCAGGAGUACACUAAUAGAUGUUCGCAAGCAAUGGACUGACCAUGCCCAAAAGGAGAAAAUGAAAUAACCUACAGUAGUUAGAGCACCAGAACAAGAGUUACCUGGGGCAAAUCGGUGAAGUCAAUUCAUGCCUACAUGAACAUCAAGAAAGUUUUGGACAUCUUCGUUUAUUAGAAGUGAUGACUGGUGUACAAUACAAAGUGCAACUUGUUGCAUCCAACUACUUUGUAUUUGUCCUUAAUAUUUCAAUAAAUAAAUAAUAAAAUAAAUAAAUAAAAGGCAAGCAGGCUCAAAAUGUGAUCUGCUUUUUCAGUAUGUA